rnacentral:rRNA from 1 species
GAUGAACGCUGGCGGCGUGCCUAAUACAUGCAAGUCGAGCGAACGGACGAGAAGCUUGCUUCUCUGAUGUUAGCGGCGGACGGGUGAGUAACACGUGGAUAACCUACCUAUAAGACUGGGAUAACUUCGGGAAACCGGAGCUAAUACCGGAUAAUAUUUUGAACCGCAUGGUUCAAAAGUGAAAGACGGUCUUGCUGUCACUUAUAGAUGGAUCCGCGCUGCAUUAGCUAGUUGGUAAGGUAACGGCUUACCAAGGCAACGAUGCAUAGCCGACCUGAGAGGGUGAUCGGCCACACUGGAACUGAGACACGGUCCAGACUCCUACGGGAGGCAGCAGUAGGGAAUCUUCCGCAAUGGGCGAAAGCCUGACGGAGCAACGCCGCGUGAGUGAUGAAGGUCUUCGGAUCGUAAAACUCUGUUAUUAGGGAAGAACAUAUGUGUAAGUAACUGUGCACAUCUUGACGGUACCUAAUCAGAAAGCCACGGCUAACUACGUGCCAGCAGCCGCGGUAAUACGUAGGUGGCAAGCGUUAUCCGGAAUUAUUGGGCGUAAAGCGCGCGUAGGCGGCUUUUUAAGUCUGAUGUGAAAGCCCACGGCUCAACCGUGGAGGGUCAUUGGAAACUGGAAAACUUGAGUGCAGAAGAGGAAAGUGGAAUUCCAUGUGUAGCGGUGAAAUGCGCAGAGAUAUGGAGGAACACCAGUGGCGAAGGCGACUUUCUGGUCUGUAACUGACGCUGAUGUGCGAAAGCGUGGGGAUCAAACAGGAUUAGAUACCCUGGUAGUCCACGCCGUAAACGAUGAGUGCUAAGUGUUAGGGGGUUUCCGCCCCUUAGUGCUGCAGCUAACGCAUUAAGCACUCCGCCUGGGGAGUACGACCGCAAGGUUGAAACUCAAAGGAAUUGACGGGGACCCGCACAAGCGGUGGAGCAUGUGGUUUAAUUCGAAGCAACGCGAAGAACCUUACCAAAUCUUGACAUCCUUUGACAACUCUAGAGAUAGAGCCUUCCCCUUCGGGGGACAAAGUGACAGGUGGUGCAUGGUUGUCGUCAGCUCGUGUCGUGAGAUGUUGGGUUAAGUCCCGCAACGAGCGCAACCCUUAAGCUUAGUUGCCAUCAUUAAGUUGGGCACUCUAAGUUGACUGCCGGUGACAAACCGGAGGAAGGUGGGGAUGACGUCAAAUCAUCAUGCCCCUUAUGAUUUGGGCUACACACGUGCUACAAUGGACAAUACAAAGGGCAGCGAAACCGCGAGGUCAAGCAAAUCCCAUAAAGUUGUUCUCAGUUCGGAUUGUAGUCUGCAACUCGACUACAUGAAGCUGGAAUCGCUAGUAAUCGUAGAUCAGCAUGCUACGGUGAAUACGUUCCCGGGUCU